CACUACAUCGUGGCUCUUCUGGUAACCCGAAUGUUGGUGACUGGUAAAUGCUAAAGAGAAAACAAGGCAGGGAAGGGGGUCUGAAGUAUUAGGGUGCAGUGGAAAGAGCCUUCUAAAUGAGGGUCUUACUGGGGACAGAGCUUUUGAGUAAAGAAGUCCUGGAUGUGAGGGACUCACACCUGCAACUGUUCAGAGGGAGGGUGUUCAGCUGAGGGAUUAGCAACUGUGAGGUAUUGAGGGAGGAAGGAAUGAGGGCAGGUCUGUUGCAGGGCAGACAUUAAAUACAGGUUUGUUACAUGAAUGUAUGAAGAAAUGACUGAAACGCCACAUUUUGCUACUCAAAGGGAUGGCUUUAUAGAGAGAGAACCCUAAAAUAACAGCUUUGUCCCAAGAAAAUAGGCAUGGAGGUCAGUCUUACUACUAGUGAUAAAACACUGCCUGGUCUUGUUAUUGCGAAUCAACAGUCUUCAGAGGGCUGUCCCUACCCUGACAGCAACCAACAGCCAAGAGGUUCCUGGCAAGCCCCCGUGUGCAAACAUUUACAAAGCCCCAGGAAAACUGAAAUGGGGGACGUUGCUAGUAACUGACCAAGUUGCAGCUUUCCUUUUUUACAGCUGAGGGUCCUACGAACCCCUUGUGUUGUCACUCUGGGAAGAGAACCCCACGGAACAUCCAGAAACCGAAAUGCCACCAUUUCAACCACCAUAACAGGUAUUCUCCAUGAUUCAAAUCAUGAGUUGAGGGAUGCCGACUGCGGAAGUUCACCAGCAUCUGGGAAGAUGGGCAAGUCAGUGGCUGGAAGAACAGGUUUUGGAAGGAAACCGAGGUUAACGGUUCCCACGUGACUGAACCUAAGGCUGGUGCGGAAUAAUGACAGGUGAGUGGUGAGUGCUUUCCUGUUUGGGGUUUCCUGCAUUUGGGGGAACCAAGGACUACCAGGAGGCAAUCCCGCGAUUCUCCCUAAUUUAGCUUCCUAUCCUCGGGGCAGGGCUGAAACCUUCCUUACCAUGGCCAGGAGGUGUGUGUGUGCAGGUGUGCACUGUGAAGGGCCAGCCCAGGGGGUGCGUCCCAGCCAUUCCACAGGCCGGGUUCAGCCACAGCGGGUGUGUUGUGUCCUUUGUGUUUGAAGCCAGGAGGAGUUAGGGUGAAGCCGGACGCCAGCCUGUCCUACAAGGCUUCUCGUUCAGAUGAGGCUGCUUUGAUCCUUCCUGUCCCAGGGAGUUAAGGUCCAGCAGAGAUAGCAGGCCAAGGGUGCAUCGCACCUGUGAGCCCAGUCCCCAAAUCAAAUCUGAGAUCGGGCCAAGAACCCGGCUCAUUCAGGUGGCAGCCCCACCCACUUCUGUCACUUUCCUACAAGCUGCUGACGGCAGCACUUUUCUUCCUGGGGUUGAAAUCCCGGGGUCUUUGUGUGGGCUGAGAUGAGCUGAGUUUGACUUUGCAGCGUUCCCGGUGGCGCUCAGUGGAGUAGGCACUGGGGGAAGGGGGGCGGAGGGCCCCGGCUUUGAGGCGGUGCGGGAGCCCUGCAGGGCGAACCCGAGCGUUCUGGGGAACCGCAGGCGGCCUCAAAGCAGCCUUCGCUCCUCCGCUUUGCUAAAGAGAGCCGCACGCGCACGCGCACGCGCACG